rnacentral:sRNA from 1 species
GAACCUACAAAAAGCCUCCACUGUGGAGCCAGCAAAUGUUAUAGAAGAACAGGUCUUCUAGUGCCUCUAGUUGACUGUUGAUAUUCUCUAGUUGAGAAUCACUCCUAGUUGGAGCAGUAUGUCGUCUACAACCUCUAGUUGAGGUAGUCACUGUUGAUAUUCUCUAGUUGAGGAUGGAGCUCCUAGUUGGGGCAAAGCAUGUUUUUGAUGAUAGUUGAUGGUAAAGGUAAUACAGCAGAUUGAUGGAUUUUGCUUCACCUAUUCCUAAUAGGGAAAUCAGGGUCCGAAUUUUUGUAAUUAAUUAUUAUUGCGUUUUUG